UGAUGCAUUUAGGAAUGGACACUACCAGACUUGCUUCGGAUGCUGGAUCUGACCUAUAUUUUCCAGAUGAGUGACCAGGUUAAGGUUUUUGGAGCAGGUCCAUUUCCAAGAAACUGUAAGUCCUACCUGAUCCAAACAAGCAUGGAUGAUGCAUCUAGAAAUGGACACUACCAGACUUGCUUCAGAUGCUUGAUCUGACCUACAUUUUCCAGAUGAGUGAUGAAAUUAUUCCCAACUCAGCCCUACCCUGACCAAACUUGCAUGGAUGAUGCAUCUAAAGAUGGACAUUUGAAACUUGCUUCGGAUGCUGGAUCUGACCUGCAUUUUUCAAACAAGUGACCAGGUGCAAAGCAGAAGAAAGUUGAGGCUGACCAGGAUCCUGAAGUGAGGAGUAUUCCCUCUCCUGUUUAACAGCAUUCAUGAGCAGAAAGUGGGGGAAGCAGAGAUGCUGAGACAGUUCAGAAGAAACAUCACCAGGAGCCACAGCAACAGCAAAGGAAGCUUAUAUGGAAGUAUUUUUGAUUUUCUCCCUUCUUUCCUCUGCCCCCUGCUGACUCUAACAUUACUAACCAUCCACUUCCCUUUCCCCCUCAUUCGUCUUCCUGAAUUCAGUCAAUGUUUUCUGAUUUUUCAAUGAAUUGUGUUGUACUGAUUUUAUUCACGUGAAUUUUUGUGAUUUGUUGCAUUGUUUUGAAGUUUUACUAACAUUGUGCCAGUUUUAUACUUUCAGGGUUUCAGAAGAGGAACAACGAUGGAGGAGCAGGGUCGACCAACAGAAGGAGACGAGAUGACGAGUCCAUUUCCCAUCUCUACACAGCAGCCAACAUGGCCCAAAGUGGUAAGUAACUUUUCGUGAUU